GCUGGGCGUGGUGGCUCACGCCUGUAAUCCCAGUACUUUGGGAAGCUGAGGUGGGCGGGUCACCUGAGGUCAGGAGUUUGAGACCAGCCUGGCCAACAUGGUGAAACCCCAUCUCUA
ensembl:misc_RNA Metazoa_SRP Metazoan signal recognition particle RNA